UCGAGUUUCCAACCAGAUACUCU
rnacentral:snRNA from 1 species